GUGGGGAAUAUUGGACAAUGGGCGAAAGCCUGAUCCAGCAAUGCCGCGUGAGUGAUGAAGGCCUUAGGGUUGUAAAGCUCUUUUACCAGGGAUGAUAAUGACAGUACCUGGAGAAUAAGCUCCGGCUAACUCCGUGCCAGCAGCCGCGGUAAUACGGAGGGAGCUAGCGUUGUUCGGAAUUACUGGGCGUAAAGCGCACGUAGGCGGUUACUCAAGUCAGAGGUGAAAGCCCGGGGCUCAACCCCGGAACUGCCUUUGAAACUAGGUAACUAGAAUCUUGGAGAGGUCAGUGGAAUUCCGAGUGUAGAGGUGAAAUUCGUAGAUAUUCGGAAGAACACCAGUGGCGAAGGCGACUGACUGGACAAGUAUUGACGCUGAGGUGCGAAAGCGUGGGGAGCAAACAGGAUUAGAUACCCGGGUAGUCC
rnacentral:rRNA from 1 species